AUCUAGCUGAUGAGUCCCAAAUAGGACAAGAUUCGCGUCCUGGAU
rfam:Schistosoma haematobium scaffold735_3, whole genome shotgun sequence.